rnacentral:rRNA from 1 species
CCCUUAGAUGUUCUGGGUCGCACGCGUGCUACACUGAGUGGAUCAGCGGGUCAGGUUGCGCGAAAGUGUUUCCUAAUCUUUAAAUCCGCUCGUGAUGGGGAUUGACGGUUGCAAUUUUCCGUCAUGAACGAGGAAUACCUUGUAAGCGCGGGUCAUCAUCCCGCGCUGAAUACGUCCCUGCCCUUUGUACACACCGUCCGUCGCUCCUACCGAUUGAGUGGUCCGGUGAGGCUUUGGGAUCUGAGCGGAAAGAGCGUUUCGCUGUUUCUGCCCGGAAAACUCAGUCGAACCUUAUCAUUUAGAGGAAGGAGAAGUCGUAACA